CUAAACGACGUCACGGACGGGCCGUGUAUUUUAUACGGACUCACGGACAGCGUCCGCAGAGCCUGCCAGGACCAUCUGUCCUGCGAAAAAAAAACAGGAAGAACGAAACAUCUCCCUCGAUAGGACACGGCGGCACGCCAUUCGCCACCGCUGGGCCGGCGCCCCGCUCCUCGCCGCUAGCUUGCGCCCAGCUCGUCGCCGCCCUCCGCCCUCCACACUCCUCGUCUCCUCCCAGUGCCUCCCCUCUACCUUAGGUAGGAGCUCAUCGUAGGGUCUGAGAAGGUCUCCGCCGCCGAGGACCUGGCCGCCGGCCGCCUGCCACCGCCCGACCCCCGCUCGGCAAGGGAGUGCGGCGGCAUCGGCGUCAACCUAGAGGGCAAGGAGCAGGUCGGAUUCCUCCCCUUGUUGCAAUCUCGUGCCCUACCUGAAAAUAUCCCCAAUUGAUCCAAGAAAAAUGACAGCUGCAAAGGUCGUCCACAUUAUUGUGAGGCCGGAAUAAUGAUGCUGCGAAGUUAGUUUGUUGAAGCUACAAGUCUAUCGGCGGAGCUUCAAAGGCGGCCACCGUUGUCAGCUGCAAAGGUGGGCUAGCAUUGCUGCGAGGCUUGCUGAUGAUGCUGCAAACAAGCUGUUUCGAUGACGGCGGUCGCAGCUCACGGUGAUGGGCGGCGCUGAUCGCGGCCAUGGGCGAAGGUUGCUGCAGCUCAGGUCGAUAUACAGCGCCAAGGGCCCUGCCUCUGAUUCAUGCCGGAUUCGUCGUGCAACUGCAAGGAGGAGGGAUAGCAAAUAACAUGUGCAGUACGGUGGAUGAUCUGACGACGAUCAUAAUAUGGAGCAAUGGGUUGUAUGAAUAUGGAAUAUUUGUUCUGGACCUGAUUGUACAAAGUGUAUUACAAUGAGAAGUCGCAGUGUGUACAAGCUAA